GCCGAGGUGGCAGAGUAGUCAAAUGCAUCAGUCUGUAAAACUGACGGCCGACAGGCCUACCCAGGUGCAAAUCCUGGCCUCGGCACCA
rnacentral:tRNA from 1 species